ACAAACAUACACCUUCAUCGACGAUGGUCCGUAUACACGACCUUCUUGUAGUGCUUCAAAUACAUGCCUUUAGUUUCAUCUAAAUAGUGCGUGCCGGCUCAGAAUCCCUUAUUUGACUGUCCGGAUAGAUUACCAAGCACCGACCAAUCAUUGAUGGUUAUGAACAACAAUGCUCGUAGAUUAAAUGUCUCUUUUUAUCCUCAUCCC
rnacentral:lncRNA from 1 species